rnacentral:rRNA from 1 species
GGGCCCGCACAAGCGGUGGAGCAUGUGGUUUAAUUCGAUGCAACGCGAAGAACCUUACCUACUCUUGACAUCCACGGAACUUAGCAGAGAUGCUUUGGUGCCUUCGGGAACCGUGAGACAGGUGCUGCAUGGCUGUCGUCAGCUCGUGUUGUGAAAUGUUGGGUUAAGUCCCGCAACGAGCGCAACCCUUAUCCUUUGUUGCCAGCGAUUCGGUCGGGAACUCAAAGGAGACUGCCAGUGAUAAACUGGAGGAAGGUGGGGAUGACGUCAAGUCAUCAUGGCCCUUACGAGUAGGGCUACACACGUGCUACAAUGGCAUAUACAAAGAGAAGCGACCUCGCGAGAGCAAGCGGACCUCAUAAAGUAUGUCGUAGUCCGGAUUGGAGUCUGCAACUCGACUCCAUGAAGUCGGAAUCGCUAGUAAUCGUGGAUCAGAAUGCCACGGUGAAUACGUUCCCGGGCCUU